rnacentral:rRNA from 1 species
CCUACGGGAGGCAGCAGUCGAGAAUCAUUCACAAUGGGGGAAACCCUGAUGGUGCGACGCCGCGUGGGGGAAUGAAGGUCUUCGGAUUUUAAACCCCUGUCAUGUGGGAGCAAAUUAAAAAGAUAGUACCACAAGAGGAAGAGACGGCUAACUCUGUGCCAGCAGCCGCGGUAAUACAGAGGUCUCAAGCGUUGUUCGGAAUCACUGGGCGUAAAGCGUGCGUAGGCUGUUUCGUAAGGCGUGUGUGAAAGGCGCGGGCUCAACCCGCGGACGGCACAUGAUACUGCGAGACUAGAGUAAUGGAGGGGGAACCGGAAUUCGCGGUGUAGCAGUGAAAUGCGUAGAUAUCGAGAGGAACACUCGUGGCGAAGGCGGGUUCCUGGACAUUAACUGACGCUGAGGCACGAAGGCCAGGGGAGCGAAAGGGAUUAGAUACCCCAGUAGUC